UACAGGGGGUGCAAGCGUUAUUCGGAAUUAUUGGGCGUAAAGAGCGUGUAGGCGGUUUGUUAAGUCUGGUGUGAAAUCCCUGGGCUCAAUCCAGGAAGUGCAUUGGAUACUGGCAGACUAGAGUGCAGGAGAGGUGAGCGGAAUUCCCGGUGUAGAGGUGAAAUUCGUAGAUAUCGGGAGGAACAACAGUGGCGAAGGCGGCUCACUGGACUGUAACUGACGCUAAGGCGCGAAAGCGUGGGGAGCAAACAGG
rnacentral:rRNA from 1 species